GGAUGUAGCUCAAAGGUACAGUGCUUGUUUAGCAUGCACAAGAUCCUGGGUUCAAUCCCCAGGACCA
rnacentral:tRNA from 1 species